UCCCUCUUAGCUCAGUGGUAGAGCGUGUCACUCGUAUUGUAGUUGCGAUGACAAGGUCAGUCGUUCAAUCCGGCUAGCGGGAA